CAGCCGCCGCGGGAAUACGAAGGGUGCAAGCGUUACUCGGAAUUACUGGGCGUAAAGCGUGCGUAGGUGGUGGUUUAAGUCCGUUGUGAAAGCCCUGGGCUCAACCUGGGAAUUGCAGUGGAUACUGGGUCACUAGAGUGUGGUAGAGGAUAGUGGAAUUUCCGGUGUAGCAGUGAAAUGCGUAGAGAUCGGAAGGAACAUCUGUGGCGAAGGCGACUAUCUGGGCCAACACUGACGCUGAGGCACGAAAGCGUGGGGAGCAAACAGGAUUAGAUACCCGUGUAGUCCCUGUCUCUUAUAC
rnacentral:rRNA from 1 species